rnacentral:rRNA from 1 species
AGUCUUGCAUCNUCUGUAUUCAGCGNACGCGUACGNCGCUGAAGCUAAUGCNCUAUCGUAAUCAUGCCUGGUAGCUGGANGGACAACGUUUUCUUAAAGGAACGCUAAUACCGCAUAC